AGAGACUUAGGAUAGCCCAGACCAAAAGCCUUCAAAGCUUUAAGCAGGAGUGAAAACCUCCUAGUCCCUG
rnacentral:tRNA from 1 species